CGGGCAUAUGUGCAGAGGAGGGGCGGAUGAAGAGGGAAAGAAAAGACUAGAAAGAGGAAAGAAGGGGCCAAGAAUCAAGGACCCCUGUGCCAACACAGGGGGACAUGCCAAAUCUGGCCACCAAAGUCCUUUUGAGGCAACUGCAUGCAUCAUCGUCAUCAUCGUCAUCACCGUCAUCACCGUCGUCACUGUAACUCUACUUGCUGUCUGCCAACCACUUUACUGAGCAGACCAUCCUAGUAGCAACCCACCUUCUAGCUUCAAGGCUGUCCAUAGACCUUAGGCUGCCAGGAAACCAGUUAUAAGCAGGGAGACAAAAGGGAUCCAGAGGAUGGAGAGGCAUUCUGAGUUCCGCUAAUGAGUGAGCAGGAUGUCAUUGCCUGUCAGUGCCACAUGUUGAAGACGUGAAGGUGGGAGAAUCACAAGAUAGAAGUGGCCUAGUUCCUUGAAUUACCACUUGGAAGAGAACCACCACUAUCAGCCACUAUUACCACACCCAUGCCCUCAAUCCAUACCCAAGAGGCUGGAUCCACCUCUCACCCUAGACUAAGAUUCUACAAAUUAUUAUUUGACUUCCUUUGAAAAACUGAUUGCCAGCUUUAUAACUCGAUCUGGGCACACUCCCCAUCGGGGCCUGCAUUUCCUGUGGAUGAUGCAUUGGUUUCCAAGGUGACGGUGGGAAGGAAUAGACCUGUUAGCUUGUGGCUUCUGACUCACUCACUGCAAUGGACGUCAUAGAAUUGUAGCUGAACAAAUGGAUGCUGAUAAUAAGUAUGUGCCUAAGGUAGCAGCGGGGCACCAAUGGUUAAAACAAUCCCAUUGUACCAGCUCUCUCUCCCUCCCACUAAGCAAGCCGACAGGCCAACAGAAAUACCGGAACUGAAAAAAGAUACAACAGAUUUCCCCAGUCAUAUAUAAGUUCACAGUGAAGUCCUAUUUACAUCCCCGAGAUUUUGCUCCUACGCCUGGAGAAUUUCCUUUUCCUUUCCGGAAUGUAGAAGUACCAGGAUUCUGUAACAAAUCGUCAUAUGGAGGCUGAAGAGAGUGUGAUGGAAACAAGCCAAAAACUCACCAGAAGUCUGUUCACGAAGGUGACAGCCGCUUUUGAACUUUUAAAUUUGUUUCUUGUGAGGCAAUUCACAGUGGACUAACAAUCAUCAGAGCCCAGAAUGAAACAUACAUUCUGCUGAGAAAUUAAUCUUCAGAAAAGUUGAAUUUCAUGAAGUCUGAAGAUGCUCUCUCUCUCUCUCUCUCCCUCUCUCUCUCACAUACACACACACACACAGUGUGUGUGUGUCUUCUUGUCUUCAGGCUCACUCACCCACACACACAAAGACAGAGAGAGAGACACAGAGAGAAAGAGAUAGAGAGAUAGAGGGAGAGACAGAGAUAGAGUGAAAGAGAGAGAAUGAUUGAGAUUGACUUUCUAGCUACGUCUUUUUGUAUCAACUGAUCCCAGCCACCUAUAAGUCAAAGAAGACUGCCUGGAAUAAAAAAAAUAUAUAUGUGAAGAGCCCCGUGUUCUUCAUGUCCGAACCAGGGAAGACUGAAUGGAUUCUUUAGAUUCUUGAGUUCCUUAAACGAUGAGCAAACCUAAAGGUUCCCUACUGGAGAUAAUGCAUCUUGUUUUCCACUGGGCCUUGCGGGAUGCUUUAAAUAGCAUCAGCAAGCAUCCGAAUGAAUUAGACAGCAAAUGUAGGUUAGCUUUAUUUAGACAGAUAAAGACAAGCAGAGAAAGUUGUCUGGUUCAAGGGCAGUGCAGCCUGACACGACAGCAUUUCUCUGAGGAGGGGAAAUUGCUUUGGGAGAGAGAGGUAUUUUGGGCAAAAAGCAAAGUUCCUUGGAUCUCCAGGGAAAGUGAUGCUAAAUUCUUCAGUACAGAAGAGCUGGAAUUGAGAAUGGCUUGCCAUUCAUUGAAGGAAAGAGCUGGAGAGUUAAAAUGUAAAGCAAAACUCAGUAUCACACAUCAUCCCUAAGUCCACACAUCAUUUUUUCUCUUUCCUAUUUCUUGGGAACACCACCAGAAAAGACAGGCUUCCCAGAACACAAGCUGGCCUAGCCAGUUUACACGAGUCCUCUGGAGUGUACUUGAGACCCCUGGCAAUUCUGAGUCAGGAAAUUAGUGCAGCUGAAGAACCCCUGGAGACUGGAAGCCUAGGAAGCAGGGAAACUGGCAUAUUUGGGGACAUUCACACGUUAAACAGAAAUGUGAAUGCUUGAGAAAAAGUUACAACUAAUGAAUUUAGUUAAUUUUCUUCUUCUUCCCCUAUCCACUCUCUUAGACUAUUUUUUGAAAAUAAAGGCCGGGCGUGGUGUCUCACACCUGUAAUCCCAGCACUUUGGGAGGCCGAGGCAGGCGGAUCACCUGAGGUCAGGAG
rnacentral:lncRNA from 10 species